GUCUUUGCAUAGAAUACACCUUAAUCUCUAGCAGAUCAGACUGAGGAAGAAGGACUCAUUAAAAAAUGUGGGUAAUUUCCUUUAGCCACUCUGUGCUGGGUACUCUUUUGCUUUUUGCUACAGUAGUUCAAGGCACUGACAAUUUGGGUACCACUGUCGGUAGCAGGACUAGUCCUCCAACUGAGAAUACAACCACGGUGAAGUAUAGUACAACUCCAGCCACGGCAACAGAAGGUGACAUUUCUGCUAACAAUACCAGCAGUCAAACAAUCCUAAGCAGCACCACAGUCUUACUGUCCACUUCUACGAGUCCCACUACAGUUCCAGAAAACAGUGAGGGUGAAGAUACAAGUCACAGGACAACUGUUGGACAAGAUAAAAGUACUACAAGCCAGACAACUACCACAGGGAGUCAAACUGUGGAAUAUGACAUCUCAUCCACAAAAAACAACAGUUCUGUGGAAGAGCUCACAUCCAGCAGUGCAGGAAUAAUCAUUUUAAUUGCCCUAAUUAUUGCCAUUGUCCUUAUUAUGGUGAUAAUUUAUAUUAUACGUCUAAAGACAAGGAGGUACUCGUUUGAUUUAUACAACAAAAGUCCUGAAGAUGCAGGGAUUCCUUUGAGCUCUGUGGACAAAGACGGUGCAUGUGAAUCAUUUUCAGCAAAAGAUACCUCAGGAAAUGUGAAUACACGCCAUGACAACAACGAAACCCUCGGUUCACCCAAGGACCCUUCAUCAGAGACUGGUCAAGAAAAGCCAGGCAGUGAGACAGACACCAAAGAAGCAGAGAAACCAGAAAAGGAGGGUAAAGAAGGCAGUUUUGGCUCCCAAAUUCCCCUCACCAUGUUGGACGAUAUAGAACUCAAACUGGACACAAAUGAUCCUGACACAACGCAGUCCAGCAAAACAUCCGUUGAGUCUCUGGGAGACCAGCUGAAUGAAAACAACAACAAUAUUUUAGGCAACAGCUUGACAGCAAAAGAAGAGACAGCCCCUAAUCUGGAAGACACCUUCACUGAAAUCUAUCUAGGACCGUCCAUGUAAGAAUCCCCCUGCUCUCCUGUCACCCGAUGCAAGAAGUUGGUCAGGUAGAAGAUGCCCAAAGAAGAACACGUCCAAGCAGUUGUUUGUAAAGGAGACUGCAAUCUGUUUUUUAUUUCAAAAAGAUAUUUCAUCACUAUUAUCCACUCAAGUGAUUGAUAAAAACAUUACAAAUUUAAUCUUAUGUUGUAAGGAAGAUACAGAUUGCAUGUGUUCAGCUUUCACUCGUUAUAAUCCAUGUGGUGUGACUCAGGGGUAAUGUUUUUAUAGGUUUUAUAAAUAUAAAGAAUAAUAAAAAAUUGAAUCAUUCUAUCAAAAGUGAAUAUUUUACGAAUUAUGUUUGUAUCCUUAUAAUAUAUAUCCUGUCAGGAUAUUAAUUAUGUGACGUUAAAUUAUAUCUAAAACCAUUUUGUGCUCUCUUUCUCCUGUGAAUGUCACAUGAAUUGACACCAAAACUAAAUGAAACCCUAGUGUCUCCUUCCUGCUCUGUAAUGGUGUAAUCUUGUACUGUACUGCAGGAGAAAGCUUUACAGCACAACUACUAGCCCCACUUAUGGGGAAGUACAGUAGAAAGUGAUCAGUAAAUUACUCACACUUCAUUGAUGAGUAUACAGUACUACAGAAUAUAGUAUAACUGUCUUAUAAGCACUAUUUUGAUGGUAAAACUCACUUUAUUGACCUCCUUCAAUGCAUAAAAACAAAGGGCUGUCCCAGCCACUACAGUUGCAUGGAGGGCUAUCAACAAAGUUAAUAAUAAUAAUAAUAAUAAUUGCUUACACUUACUGUAUAUAGCGCUUUUCUGGACACUCUACUCAAAGCGCUUUACAGGUAAUGGGGACUCCCCUCCACCACCACCAAUGUGCAGCAUCCACCUGGAUGAUGCGACGGCAGCCAUAGUGCACCAGAACGCUCACCACACAUCAGCUAUCAGUGGGGAGGAGAGCAGAGUAAUGUAGCCAAUUCAUAGAUGGGUAAGAUCUUACCUUACAAAUUUCUCAACUUCAGAACAUUGGUCGACCUUUUCAGUCCACUGUAGUGGAAUAAACUAAUGUACACUGUGUAUAUAAACUAAAAGCAAACCUUAUCAAUAAUGCUCAAAGUACAUGUUUUAUAUAAACAUGCCUGUUAUGUGCAUCUUUAGUUUUUAUUUCUUUGCAUUUAGUCAACAUUUUGACGUGUAUAUUAAUGUUAACUGUGCCACAUUAUUAAGAACCUUGAUGAUAAACCACAUGAAGACACUUAACAGGUCAAUUGUUUUGCAGGCAAUUAUCUAAUCAAAUGAGUCUGCUUAAUUAAUGAACUUUGCCCACAGGUAUGUGGCAAAACCAGCAUGUCAGUAUUGUUAUUUCUUCAUUAGACUUCGUUGGAUUUAUUUCUUGCUUACAGGAUCAUUGGCAUGUGCUAAAAUCCAUUAUUCAAAGUUGGUGUUUAAUUACGGAAUAAUAUUUUGUAAAUGCUUUUUGCUGCUUUCUGUUUUGAUUUGUAGUUGUAUGAACUGGUGGACUUUACCAGCUUCUAAAAUAUCUUUUAUGUAUGUUUUUUGAGUAAAGCUGAUAAUAUGGGUUUUAUUUAGGAUUUGUUCUGUUAUUCCUGUCAGGGUCUUGGUUAUGUCACAUGUUAAACUACAUUUAAAACCCAAAGGACUUACUGUAUAUUUGCUCUGUGACUUUUGUGUUCAAGCUUCACCAUGUUUAAUUUCUUAUUUUCCCAAAUUUUCCAACAAUUUAGAGCUGUUUCUUCUGUCAAAGAACAAACGCUAGGAGAUUAUUUUAACAAUUCAUUUAUUCUACUGCAAAAAGUGCACAUCCAGUGUUUUCAAAAACUCUUUUACUUUUGUAUUUGGUUUUUAUUAGACAUUUAUGUGGAGUUAACUAGAAAAGUGUCUCAAAAUAAAAAUACAACGCUAUUUUAUGAAGCAAUGCAAAAGAAAUCUCCCCCUUCCAAGAGCCUGUUCAUUUUUCUUUGUUUUGUGGUGCUCAACAAAACUCUUCAUAUAAACUGAUCUUUGGAAUUAAAGUAACUUACCGUUAGCUAAACAUAAACAUCUCUAGAGUUACCUUAGGAACAAUGGGCUUUUCCUGCAAUACAUAUUGAGUCAUCUAAUCAGGAAUCAGGAAAAUCUGUUAUUAAAGUUUUGUUAUCUAGUAAUCUGGAGCUAAGAUCAUUCUAAUGGAAUCAAUUCUUAGACAAGCUUUUGUGUCGGUGUCACUUCUGAUUUGCAGGUUAUUUACUGUAGCUGCUAAUAAAACAUGAACAUGGAUAGUAAGCACCUCUUCUGCCAUCAUAAAUCGGCACACAAGAGCAUGUGCAAGACAAAGC
rnacentral:lncRNA from 1 species